rnacentral:lncRNA from 1 species
GAAAAGAGUUCAAGAAAUAACUCAUCCCUGGACUUCCAUGUGCUUCCAGACUGCAGUGUUUCCUCCCACUUCUCCUUCCUCAGACAUUUCCUGGGAAAACAAAACACAAACCCACAACCCACAUUUACAGCUUUAAGCCUCCCGUUUCAGUACGCAUCCUUCGCCAGCAACUUCUCCAAAGGCCGUCGGGGCUGCUCUUCAGGCAGCCUGGCCGACCCGACAACACUACGGGGCAGGCAGCUCCCGGCAUCACCGGGCCGAGCCGUGGAUUCGCGGGGCAGCCGCGAAGGAACGUGGAGAGCGCUGGUCACACGACGAACCCAUACUCACAUAUUCCUUCACGUUUUUCGUCUUCACGGCCUUGUAGGAGGAGUAGGCGGGGUAGAGCGUGCCGAAUAUCAGCCUGCAAGAAGAACAGACCCCUCAGCACUUCACGGCUCCUCUGCGUCCUGCACCGCCGUUGCCCAUGCCCGCCUCCACGGCCGGGAUCCCCCGGCGGCUCCCACUCCUCCUCCCCCACCGCCGCGGUGCUGCCCUUAUAGGAGGCCGCCGCUCCCGGGCCGCGGAAGCCUACACAGAGUCGUCAGGACGCGGCCGCAGAACGCGAGACAGCGGCCGCCCCGCAGUCCCCCCCAGGGAUGCGGGGUUCUUCCCUGGGCUGGAAUCUGCGGCACCGCUGCAGCUUCGCUCCAGGCGACGGCCGCGCCCCAGGCGGGGCACCCGGCCCGAGAAAGCCCCGCGCAUCCUUCCUCCCAGGGCUGCGGUACUCACACCACGAGACGAGAGAUGAUCCAGGAGACCAUGGCGGCGCCGGGCAGGGUCGGGCGGCGACGCGGGGCUCCGCGGUGGCAGGAGGCGGCUCUUAAAGGGCGGGUUCCUGCAGCAAGCACCGUGCAGCCCCGCCCCAGCUUCUUACGGGGCGGAGUCGACGGGCCGCAUCGCGCCCCGAACCUCCCCGCCCCGUUCGGGCAGCACGCGGCACUGGGGCGGUUUCCGCGGCGUUCGUUCCAGGCGCGAGAACGGUGCGCUCCCCGGGGGACGGAGCGGCCUCUCUCGCGCGCGGAGGAAGGUUACGGCAGCGUGGCUGUAAAGAGAACCUACCGGAAAGAUGGCAGUUUCCUAUCAGCUGACAGCAGCUCUGGUACCUGA